rnacentral:misc_RNA from 1 species
AAUUAAAGCAUGAAUAAAAGACAUUGAACCAGCCUUACAAUCAAUAAUGGCCAACUUGCUCGGCCGCUACCUCCAGCGCAACGCACGUCAAGAACUGGUGGACUCAUUUGAGGAACGACUACAACAUUAAAAGAAUGAUCCCCGUUUUGUGGAUGGCUUUAGAAGAUGGAUCCGAGGUUGAUCAGAAGUCUAGCGACUUCCAAUGUAGCACUUAUGGUGAAAAACUGAAUCUCCUUCAGACUGUGUAUUCUCAAAACAAUCAAACGAAAAACAACCCGAUCACCCACUAGCCUACCGUACGUGCCGCUCUCAGUGCGUCGUUCAGAUCAACCGCUCCGACCUUUGUUCUGAUAAAGUCCGUGAAGAUGUCGUCAAUUCUCAGCUCACAUUCUGGAUAUACUUGCUGCUUCGUUCCGUCUUUGAAGUGUUCGUCAUAGGAUCUUACACUUUAUUCAAUGGAGCCGCUUUGGUUUUAGUCAACGAAGUCCGUGGUGACUUUGGAUUCCAGAAAAUGUUUGGAUUCAUCGGGUACGCAAUAUUUUCACCAAUAUCCGGAGCCCUGAUGGACCAUUUAAGUACAAAUGAAAAUGAAACAAAUUUCCGGCCGGCGUUCUUUCUAUUUGCUGGUUUAUUUGGUAUUGCAGCUUUUGGAAUGUUAACGAUUGACCUCAAUUUUAAACCUCCAGCGGAAAAGCUGAUGAAAAAUGUGAUAUCUCUGCUGAAAAACAUCGAGCUGGAUGUUCUACUUGCCGUUUGCGUAGCCUCAGGAUUCUUGGUGGGGUGCACGGGAAAUUACUUGUUCUUAUUUUUGGAAGAAAUUGGUGGGACCAGGUCAUUAAUGGGGCUGUCGGUCACUAUCUCUUGUUUAACAGCGAUUCCAUUGCUUCUGUUAUCGGAUACCAUUUUUCGUAAAUUUAGUAUUCCCAACGUUCUCGUCUUUAGCCUUUUUACCUUCGUCAUACGUCUAAUAGGAUAUUCGUACAUCACCGACCCGAACUUGUGUCUCGUAUACGAGUCUAUUGAAGCCAAUAAUGGUGCUCUGUCCCUGACAUCUUUUAUGAUCUAUGCCACCCAACUGGGGACGACGUCCACUGCGACUUCCAUUCAAGGAUUGAUUUCAGCGACCUACUUCGGACUAGGGGCUGGAAUCGGAAGCUCGGUCGGCGGAGUCCUGAUCGGAGCGUUCGGCAAGCGAGUGGUUUUCCGCAUUUUGGGAGUCAUCGCUUUCCUCACUGGAUUCCUCUACUUCCUUUUUAAUAUUUUUUACUUGCGUCCAAAGGCCAAUGAAAAAAUAACACUACCGUUGACAAGACUGAUUCAAGUGUAAACGUGAAGGUCGAAGAAAUUCAGUGACAUUCAACGUCCGUUAGUCUUUUUAUAGCAAACAGCAUCUAAGCAAACUUCUCUCCUAUAAGCCAUUAAAUUGGUCGUUAAUUGACUAACUUUUUGACUAAACAUUUUUUAGCUCAUUUACAGAUUGAAGCCUAUGAAAUAUUUAGAAUUUUAAAGACUAAAAGAAUUUCAGUUAUUGUCAUAAUAAUUUGAUAAAUCAAUAUAUAAGAAGUGUCAGUAUAUUUAUUUUUUGUUUACCCUUUUGACCAAGUGGGUAACAUCGCGUCGCUUCCAUCUUCUAGAAUCCAGUAGUUUUCGGGACUUCCCUGAAUCGGACCAAUCUUCAAUUAGGUAAUAAACAUACCAUUUGCUUCAUUUCAUUAUGUUAUCCGUUUAUCUAAUUCGAGGAACAAGGACAAAAAAUGGGUUACAAAAGCUAUCGGCAGCAGCAGAGCACCCAGACACGUUUGAAUCCAAUUUCCAUUCCUGCAUUGUAACGCCAUCGGUCCUCUUCGGUCCUCUUCGGUCCUCUUCGGUUCACGCCAUCGAUCCUCUUCGGUCCUCGCCAUCGGGCCUCUUCUUUCCUCGCCAACGGCCCUCUUCGGUCCUCACCAUCGCUUCAGGGAAACAUAAACCGGUCACAAAAUCGUGCUUCAAUAAGCUGGAUGGAAUAACGAUGCUUAAAAUAAAAAUGCUAAAGCUAAAAUCACUCGUUUCCUAAAACAUGAAAGAAUUGAUUAAUCGAUUAGACUAUUGCGUGCGAAUUCACCCAACGUGAGUCAUUUUA